rnacentral:rRNA from 1 species
CCUCGGGAGGCAGCAGUGGGGAAUAUUGGACAAUGGGGGCAACCCUGAUCCAGCGAUGCCGCGUGUGUGAAGAAGGCCUGAGGGUUGUAAAGCACUUUUAGUUAAGAAGAAAGAGUCCUUGUGAAUAAUGAGGAAAGAUGACGUUAUUAACAGAAAAAGCACCGGCUAACUCUGUGCCAGCAGCCGCGGUAAUACAGAGGGUGCGAGCGUUAAUCGGAAUUACUGGGCGUAAAGCGCGCGUAGGCGGCUAAACAAGUUGGGUGUGAAAGCCCUGGGCUCAACCUGGGAACGGCACUCAAAACUGUUUGGCUAGAGUACAGCAGAGGUAAGUGGAAUUUCCGGUGUAGCAGUGAAAUGCGUAGAGAUCGGAAGGAACGACAGUGGCGAAGGCGGCUUACUGGGCUGAUACUGACGCUGAGGCGCGAAGGCGUGGGGAGCAAACAGGAUUAGAUACCCUAGUAGUCC